rnacentral:rRNA from 1 species
ACUCCUGCGGGAGGCAGCAGUGGGGAAUAUUGCACAAUGGGCGCAAGCCUGAUGCAGCCAUGCCGCGUGUAUGAAGAAGGCCUUCGGGUUGUAAAGUACUUUCAGCGGGGAGGAAGGCGAUAAGGUUAUAACCUUGUCGAUUGACGUUACCCGCAGAAGAAGCACCGGCUAACUCCGUGCCAGCAGCCGCGGUAAUACGGAGGGUGCAAGCGUUAAUCGGAAUUACUGGGCGUAAAGCGCACGCAGGCGGUCUGUCAAGUCGGAUGUGAAAUCCCCGGGCUCAACCUGGGAACUGCAUUCGAAACUGGCAGGCUAGAGUCUUGUAGAGGGGGGUAGAAUUCCAGGUGUAGCGGUGAAAUGCGUAGAGAUCUGGAGGAAUACCGGUGGCGAAGGCGGCCCCCUGGACAAAGACUGACGCUCAGGUGCGAAAGCGUGGGGAGCAAACAGGAUUAGAAACCCCAGUAGUCC